UGCGAUCUGCGCUUCACGACAGGAGUAACACUUCCCUGGGGCCUUAUUGAUCCAUAGGGAGCUGUCCCUGGGAGGACCCGUGGGUCCUUUCACACGGCGCCCACCUACUUUGUAGGCACCCAGGAUCAAUCUCUCCAUCGGUCGUCGUGGAUCGUUC
rnacentral:other from 1 species